AUCUGUGACACCUGAUUGAAAGCUACACUGAGCAGGUUUAUACUUGAGUAUGCCUAAGUUGUCUUCUGCCCCCCAGCGACUAAACGUCUUUUAACAAUCUAAGUGCCCAUUAAUUCAUGCCGAGUUUGGUAAUAACCCAAAGUUAAUAUCCUUUAAGUUAGUCAGCUGUACGCAGGAUAUUCCAAAAAUAUCUGAGUGGAUAAAAUAGUUUAUUUUAUGUGUGUUAACAUUUGUUUUCAUUAACAGGUGCACCGCUUUUACCUCUAGCUGCUCCCCCUGCCAAGGACUCGCCCAGUAACAACACCAACGGCUAGACAAAUAGUGUUCUGGAUGAAAACAGACGAAAUAAUGAGGAACUGCUUAAUUUCUGCAGAUAAUAUAAUUACAUACAUGAAGAUUCACUUUGCUCUCUGGAACCAAAUUUAGCAAUUCAACAGAUACAUUUACUGUGGGAUACAAACGUAAACCGUGAACCUUCAAUAUUCAAACAGCACCGACUUGUUGUUGUAGCACUUUGUACCUUGGAAACAGAUGGAUGAGCACUAAGUAAAAGUUAUAGUGCUUAUCUAAAAUAGUUAAAAGUUGAAUGAGCUUGUUUUUGUCAGGGUUAAAAGAUCGUAGGUCAGGUUUGGAUUCAGGAUGAUUUAGAAAAGUAUGAAAAAAUUAAAGCACCUUAAAGAGAAAAAAAAUAUGUUGUUGGAUCAGAGAUCUUAAAUGCUAACAUUUACAACUAAAUUUCCACCAGCGCUGAAAGUAAAUGGAAUAAAGUCAGUGAUGGAAACAGCUGUUUGUUCGUCACGCUGUCAGUGAAAAAAGGUUUUCAGUAUUGCAAUCAAGGUGGGUGGGACACUGGGGGGGUUAAAUUAAUGGACAUUUUUUAUUAUAUAUAUAACUAUGAUAUAUUAAUAUAAUCAUAUUGACGAAAUUGAGUCCUUUACUUAUAUAAUUUGCAUAAUUGAAUCCAUUUACUACAAAUGAUAGUAUGCUUCACAUUACUGCUAACAAUCCUCAGGAAAACUCAAUUUAUUUUAAUUUUAUGCUGUGAAAACAUUGACUUUAGACUUGCUGCAGAUGAUCCACAACAGGAAACGUAACUUUUACAAUAAAUACAGCAGGUGGAUUAUUCAACCUGAGGAUGUUUUAAAUUCCACAAGAUUAAAGUGCAUGGAAACCAAUGGCUACCUCAAAACACACAAUUGGAAAGAAGCUUUUAGCGCUUAGUUCAGUAAACGUGAUUUGUAGUAAAUGAGCUAAAAUGCAUAAAUACACUGGUAUGAUCAUUUAAGUAGUCACAGGGUUCAGCCUGGAUUAAAAAGAAGUAAUCAAUGUAUUUUCAAAUGGGUGAAAAUCAUUGAUCAUUUAAAGCAAAUUACUGCUUAAAUUCAUUUAAUACUCUGUUGUAAAUAAUGUUUUUAUUGUUUAAGCUCUUAAAAAGUGCCUUUUUACCGCCUGUUUAUCUGUCACUAUAAAAUAUGCUCACUGAUUGAUUUAUAGGACUUUGAAUUAAGAAUUUCAUCAGUUCUUUACUCCAAGAUUAAAUUAAUACUGUUUGCAGAGUUUUACUGUAAACACAUUAAUUUAGUGACUUACUGGUAAAUUGUUUUUGGUGGGUUUUUGCCUUAAACAAAUGUAAUAUAUUUUUUAUUUGUUCUUUGGCACUUAUGUAGUCAGCAAAUAUGGAAAUAUUAUUAUCCAGCUGUUUAUUUUUUAAAGUGUGAGGAUCGUUUGCUUAUUUACCUGUGGUGUAACAUUCACUCCUGGGGAUAAUAUUUCUUUAAAUAUCUUUUUUUCUUUGGAAAUAAAAUGAAAUGACAUUUGAAGAAAUCUCCAGUGAAUCCUAAAGUCUGCAUUAUGUUAUGUAGUUUGUCAGCGAUAACAUGGAUUGUAAGACUGUAGUGGAGAUUAUUAAAUAUUUGCAGCUACUGUCUAAAAAGUUAUAAUUAGUCAUUAAUAUUUAAUUGUGAAUCUGUGUGCCAAAAUUUUUGGAUAGAAAUUCAAUUCUAUUUUUUGUAUGGUUUCUUUAAAAGGCCAAAGCCAAAACAUGAUCACAUUAGUAUUUCCCCUUUUACUUGUGUUGUCUCUUUAAAUGUUCCCUGUUUGGGGGUUGUGGUGUUUGAAACAUGUGCUCAUGUUAAAUAAAGGCAAUCAUAACAAAA